CCUCGAUGCACGGCUCCCCGUUGUCGAAGAAGGGCUGGAAAUCCGGGAUGGAGGAGAAGCGCUCCAGCAUCAGGUCCUCGGCCAGGGGGUGCGGCGGGUGCGUCUCGGGGAAGCCCAGCUCAACAGUACCAGAAAAGUGCAAAGUAUCUGCUGCUCUGGAAACCAAGUUACGAGAAGAAAUGGCCUCGUACUUAAAGCAUGCACCUGGAAGCUAAGAGAUUCAUGCUGAAGAGUCUCCAGCUGAGAUCAGAGCUCUGCUGUGCACAAUGCUGUACAAACACUUCCUGACCCUAUAUAGGCAGGAUAGCCAGAGGGUGGGAGAGGUAACAGACACACAGAAAGGUGUGAGACCUGCCUGAAUAUAUUGAUUAGGCCAGGAGGAGAGCUGGGAACGGUCCCCGGAUACCUACUCAUUGGAGCACACUGCUUCCCCUAGGGGAGCUGUGAUCACUCAUGGCUGCAAAGUACUCUGAAGCCCUUGGAUGGGAGAUGCUGGAGAAAGGCAAAGCAUUAUAACUAUCCUGGGGACAUGACUCAAUACUCUUUCACCCUCAUUCCUCUCCCUGCCUCCCCUCAAAAGAAUUACGUUGACAGUAUCACACCAGCUAUAGGAAGCAAUAGGCUUGCCCCUGAAACAUGCUAUUGAAUUGCCCUGAGUUUACUGGACGGCAGGAGCAAGACCAGUCAAACAGCUGCGACACUACUUCCCGAGCCAAUCGAGCCUCUGCCACCUCCACCGUCCUUCUGCAGCCCCAGAGGACGUCAAGGGUGUAUAAUAGCCAAGACACACUGCGCUUUUUAUCUUUUGUUCCAUGCCAGGUGUAGCCAUGCCACGUGACACUAUGUUCACUGCAGCAUGCCAGAGUCACGCGCGGUGGGAUCGGUAUUGGAGGUAAUACUAGCCUCAGGCCAGACUGCUUCAUUAUGGGAGAUAUUUUGACAGCCUAGCAGCAAAAGCAACAGCAGCCAGGUACAGGUGGGACUUCUAGGGGAGGGGUAGACACACUGAGAUGGGUUUUGCUGUUUAAAAACCACUCCACUGAGAAAUGCUGGGUUUUGCCCUUUUUAAUCCAAUGGAUGGACUGGCCAAUCUUUUGCAUCAAUAUAUUGGAAUGAGAAAAGAAACACUGGUGCAUACAAUAAGACUCUCUCCUUCCCUGGAACAGGGUCGUGCUGAUAUCAAGUCCCACCAGAGCCAGCACACCACAAACACCCCUGCUUAAUGCAAGCUUCGCUCCCAUGGGGAAUCUGCUUGCUCCCUCAUGAAGAGCCAGGUAUGGCAUGUGUGGCAUACAGAGCUCUCUCUCCCUAUCACGCUGUGUUCACACAACUCCUCCAAGUUUACCUCCCUGCAAAGUCACUCAGAAGGCAGAGCAGGGUAGUAGUACCUUUGAGACUAAGCUCAGUAGGAGAGUCAACAUUCAGCUAGGAAACUAAGCCAAAGAGUUAGGUAUUCCCACUUCUUGGACGAUGAGGUGAGGGAGACUGGGACAAAGACUGACCUCAAAGCCUAGGAUAUUAUUUCUAAACAAACUGCUUCUUCACUCUAAUACUGAAUAACUCCUAAUACAGGGCAUGUUUCCCCCUCCUCGCUCAAUCUCUGAAUAGUUUAGCUUGUCAUUGCUAAGUAUACCCUCCUUGAGAACUGGGCUUGCCAAUAUGUAAGCCGCAUGUCAGGAAUCCCACAAGUACAACACGGCAAAGGUACCAAUAGGGAACGUUCCUUCAUGAUGUGUGACGGGUGGACAAACCUGCCAGAGGCCAUUAAAUUAAGGAUCAGGCCACCGGGGUGGAGCUGCAACCAGAUCCAGAACCAGACCCAAAAUUACUCCAAAAAGGGAUUAAUAUCGAAGAGCAAGAUCCUUCUUCCAUUGAAAUCAAUGGGGAAAAUCUUCACUGACUUCAAUAGAAGGGAGAGAAGAGCCCCAGCUUUUGUAACAGGUAGCAUGAGAAAUGCUACCAAGUGACAUUUAUUUCCAAUUGAUUCAAAUGAUUUGCAAAGCUUUGGUUUCUGAGAGCAAGAAAUUUGGCUGCAUUAUAAGGGAUGCAAGCUGGAUGUAAAAAAGGCAUUUCUAAGAGAGGCCAGUGAAAUAAGCAGACCUUCAUUGAAUCGGAUACUGUCAGUCAUCCUCUCUGACCCUUCACUAUUACUGCAAGUGCCUUCUCCUUUGUAGUUCAACCAUCUGCCAAACUCCCUGCAGUUCUCUCAACCUUUUCUCACAUCCCAUCUAAAAAGGCAUCUUUUCUCCCUUGCCAGUGGCCCUCCAGUCCUUAUCUGAUAUUGUUUAUUGCUAUCUUUGCAACCGUAGUACGGGAUCUGGGAUAUCAAAACGGUUGUACAGAAAAGCCUGCGUGUUUUCUCCCUUUUUUUUCUUUAAAUGCUUAGUUUGUACUGCUCUAAUCUGCUCCAUUACUGAGAAAAACACAUUGUGUCAAAAGACUGUGGCAGUUACAGUCACGGUGUGUUAAUCUGCAGCUCAAUUGUGUCCCAGCACUUGUAGGUCACUCUGUGUUACUGCACUUUCCCUUCCUCCAGCUCUAAUAUCUUAGUAACAACAGGAUACUCCAGAAAACUUGAUGCACAAGCACCUACAUACAGCUGGAAGCUAUUGCUGGGUCAAGCCAACCAAAACAGAGUGAAUGUCAAUAAGAAGAUAACAUCAGUUACCCUGUCCCAACAUCAGAUUAAAACUAUAAAAGGCCAAGCCCUCACAUCCUCCUUCACAUACACACACACACACACACACAGACCAGUCCUGUAUAGAUAUAAAAAGUGUGUGUUAACUAGCACGCUUAUUGCCAAAUGCAUAGCACCUUGUCCAGAUGAGGGUAAAAAGCAUUUUGUUGGCUAAAACACUGUAAUUACCAGUGCAGACAUGGCAUAUGGCUUUUACCAGGCCCUAAACUGGUCCAGUUGACAGGUUUGCAAAUGUUAAAGGACUCACUACUUGGUCUACACUGGAUUUUUCAAAUGUGUUAUCUGGAGCUAACAUGUUGUAACAACACAAUUUUAAAUCCCAGUUUUGUGCAUAGUUUUUGUACUGCUCUAACUCUCGACUUUUAGAUAUUGACUGAGUUAAAGUGGUACCAAGAGCUAUGGGGUAAGCUACAGUGGCAUAAGGCACCUUCAAGCUAAUACACCUUAGGGGUAGUACUGCUUUAAUUAGAGCAAUUGCUAAACCAAUGCAGUUAUGUAGCAAUACAAAAACUGUGCGUGUGGAUCAGUCCCUAAUUUAAGCUAUGUCUGCACUGCAUUUGGUUUGCAACAGGUGUAGACAUCUGUGAGCUAACUUUAACCUAAUGAGCACAGAUAUCAAGAAGCAGCAAAACCAUGGCAGCAGGGACUCCAGAGCAAGCUAAAUAGGCACCGGGGCGUGUAGGCAGGCUGGUACUACCCAUGCAGAAGCCAGAGUCAUCGUAUCUGUGCUGCUGGUCCCUGAGCUGGCUGCAUUAAUACCGGGACAGACAUUUGCUACAAAUCACACCUUCCCCUGCAGGGUCAACAUACUCCUAAACAAGACCACAGCCAUACUUCUGAAAACACUGUCCCCCUACCUGCAGUACACGUACAUCACCAUCACACCUACCCAUACAGGCAUGUGCGAAGAUACCCAUGCAGGCAGCUACGCACACCUGUACUCGCACACACCUGCAAAGCCACACGGAUGUGCAGAUGCUCACUCCUACCUGCCAAAAUGAGGCCCAAGGGCUGGGCCGACCCCACAGACAAGCCAGUUUUAUGUUGGUUUGUUUUUCUUUUCUUUUAAAUCUUACUUUCCCAGAAAAAGAGAUCCAUUCGAGUAAACCUGUUGCCAUGACCACAUGGAGAUGAAGAGUUUUAAUCAAACAAAGCUUGGGUAAGAGGUGAGGAAAGAGUAAUGAAA